rnacentral:rRNA from 1 species
UACGUAGGGGGCAAGCGUUAUCCGGAUUUACUGGGUGUAAAGGGAGCGUAGACGGCAGCGCAAGUCUGGAGUGAAAUGCCGGGGCCCAACCCCGGAACUGCUUUGGAAACUGUGCGGCUCGAGUGCGGGAGAGGUAGGCGGAAUUCCUAGUGUAGCGGUGAAAUGCGUAGAUAUUAGGAGGAACACCAGUGGCGAAGGCGGCUUACUGGACCGUAACUGGACGUUUGAGGCUCGAAAGCGUGGGGAGCAAACAGG